GAUGAGCCUAUGUCGGAUUAGCUAGUUGGUGCGGUAAUGGCUUACCACGACUACCAUCCGUCGCUGGUUUGCGCGGCUGCUCCGCCCCCCUGGGCCUGCAGACACGGCCCAGACUCCUACGGGAGGCAGCAGUAGGGAGUAUUGGACAAUGGGCGCAAGCCUGAUCCAGCAAUGCCGCGUGUGUGAAGAAGGCCUGCGGGUUGUAAAGCACUUUCAAUUGGGAAGAAAGAUUUAGAGUUAAUACCUCUUAAUAUUGACGUUACCAAUAGAAGAAGCACAGAGUAACUACGUGCCAGCAGCCGCUGUAACACGUAAGGGGCAAGCGUUGUUCGGAUUUAUUGGGCGUAAAGAGUACGCAGGUGGUUAAAUCAGUCGGAUGUGAAAGCCCCAGGCUUAACUUGGGAAUUGCUUUCGAUACUGUUAAACUAGAAUCUAGGAGGGGAAACUGGAAUUUCAGGUGUAGCGGUGAAAUGCGUAGAUAUUAGGAAGAACACCAGUGGCGAAGGCGGCUUCUUGGAUUGAUACUGACACUGAGGUGCGAAAGCGUGGGGAGCAAACAGGAUUAGAUACCCUGGUAGUCCACGCCGUAAACGAUGUCUACUAGCCGUUGGGAGACUUGAUCUCUUAGUGGCGCAGCUAACGCAAUAAGUAGACCGCCUGGGGAGUACGGCCGCAAGGUUAAAACUCAAAUGAAUUGACGGGGGCCCGCACAAGCGGGGGAGCAUUGGGUUUAAUUCGAUGCAACGCGAAGAACCUUACCAGGUCUUGACAUCCCGAGAAUUUGCUAGAGAUAGCUUAGUGCCUUCGGGAACUCGGUGACAGGUGCUGCAUGGCUGUCGUCAGCUCGUGUCGUGAGAUGUUGGGUUAAGUCCCGUAACGAGCGCAACCCUUGUCCUUAGUUGCCAGCACGUAAUGGUGGGAACUCUAAGGAGACUGCCGGUGACAAACCGGAGGAAGGUGGGGACUACGUCAAGUCAUCAUGGCCCUUAUGGGCAGGGCUACACACGUGCUACAAUGGGCGGUACAGAGGGUCGCUAACCCGCGAGGGGGUGCUAAUCUCACAAAACCGUUCGUAGUCCGGAUCGGAGUCUGCAACUCGACUCCGUGAAGUCGGAAUCGCUAGUAAUCGUGAAUCAGAAUGUCACGGUGAAUACGUUCUCGGGCCUUGUACACACCGCCCGUCACACCAUGGGAGUUGGCUGUACCAGA
rnacentral:rRNA from 1 species